GACGUAGGUGGCGAACGUUAUCCGGAAUUAUUGGGCGUAAAGGGUGCGUAGAUGGCCUGAUAAGUUAGCAGUGGGAAAUCGAGGCUCAACCUCGUGGAAGCUGGUAAUACUGUCAAGCUCGAGUGCAGGGGAAGUUAACGGAACUCCAUGUGGAGCGGUAAAAUGUGUAGAUAUAUGGAAGAACACCAAUAACGGCGAAGGCAGUUAACUAUUCUGUUACUGACAUUGAGGCACGAAAGCGUGGGGAGCAAAACGG
rnacentral:rRNA from 1 species